GUACCGUUUUUCUAGACUUCAUAAAAUUUUUUUAAAUUAAAAGUACUUGGCAUUUUCUGCUGAAAGGAGGUCAUGUAAGUAAAGCACUGCUGUCAAAAGGCCCACCUGACAGAGGCUAGCAGUUGCUGAGGGGCUAGCUGGCUCUCUGCGUCUUGAGAACCAGAAAUGCCAGCUGUGCUCCCUGCCUGCAGAAGAACAGAGCUCCAUCAGGACUGGCCAGUCAGGAAAGCAGAGACACAGGGGGAGCGCCUCCUCUGCCCACUGGCCCUGAGCAGAGCUGGCUGCAGCACGUUCCAUGGGGCCCAUUAGCACCUAAUGCCUGUGCCACAGGUGGUGGCACAGCUGUGUGCCACUUGAGCACACAGCUAUGGUGUGGGCCUCUGCCCAGAGCCGCCCCUCCAGCCUGCCACUGACCGCGUGACACUAAUGUGUGACUCCUCACAAAGUAUGCCUGGAAGCCAGGGCUGGGAGCUGCCUCCCCUGCAGCCGUGUGUCUAUGCCUGCUCCCCCCAGGACCUGCUGCUGUGUCCUGGUGGCCAGGGAAGCUUAGCCCUGGGCUGACUGCCCGGGGACCCUGUUGUGGGGUCUGGAAAAGAAAUGAGUACUCAAGUCUGUCUCAGCUACGUUGCUCAGUUUUUUCUGCCCCCAGCCCCUUCAGGACCCAGGGCCAAGAAAUCACCCCAACCCAGACCCAUUUCCUCUACUCUUGGCCCCAGGGUCCUCAAUGGCACAGCUCACCAGGGAACCAUGCUUUGAAGGUACACAUUCUAAUACUAUCUGCCUUGACUUCUGCUGGGGACUCUGGUCAUUCCACAGUUGGACUAAGACUCCGUCUAAACACACUGGCCCUCUGAGCCCCAAAUGUUACCCACUGUUUUGCUGAAAGUUUUCAAUUAUCUGUUUGGCUGUGCUGGCUUAGUUGUGACAUGGGGGAUCUCUACUUGAGUUAUGUGGGAUCUAGUUCCCUGACCAGAGAUGGAAUCCAGGCUUAUUCACUGGACCACCAGGGAAGUCCCUGUUUUGCUGAAAAUUUUACUUUUGUUUUAGAUUUGUUAAACCACUCAUUACAUGCAAUUUCAAUUUUUUAUAGCUUAUUAGACUUAAUUUCAGUAUAUAGUCAUUAAAAGAAAAGAAACAAUAGAGAAAAUAACAGUGUAUAUAUCACCAAAUUGGGCCAACCUACAUCCAGACUUGAACAGCACUGGGAAGUCCCUCGUUAACAGCAAUCUGGAGUACCAGUUGGGAAAGGGUCCCUAGUAGUAUGUCCACCCCAAUGGAAAGACUUCAAAUUGCCGUUUCGGGGGCUCCCGCUUACAAACCCAGGUUGCAAACUGAUAUCACCAUCAGUUUACAGGCAAAAAAUGCAGCUCUGGUUUUACUUAGAGUUUUUAACAAUGCUUUUCAUUUCACCAUGUGAGUCAUAGGAUUUUGUUAGACCCUAGGGGAUUGGCCAGACCUCCUGGGGCUCAAGAAUUCCAAGGCCAUUCCCUUUCUUAUCUAACAUGCUCCCUGACUUGCUGUGCUUGUAAGCAGGCAUGGAAUCCAGGCAAUGUCCAGGUAAGUCAGAGGCCUGCUCUCCUGCUUCUGAAGCCUGAAUAAGACUUUCUCCAUUUUAAUUUCCCUAACACCUGCCCCAUUGUUACAGUGGUGUCCCCCCUUGCCCUUCUCCUUUGGCCAGUGUUUUCUAAGGAGGUCCGUCCACUCCGUGUCUCCCCUAAGUCUACCCCUCUUCCUGCAGCUGCUUCCCCAGCCUGGAACUGGGUCUGCCUGACUUUCCAGCCUGUGCUUCACUUGAUGCCAUGGUCUCAAAAUCAAGUCGGCAUCAGACUGGUUGCCCGUUGACAUGUGGAUUCCAAACAUCACCCCCAGAGGUUCUGACUGCCGAGCAGGGUGAACUGUGCCAAUCAGCCUGUUUCCUAGGUCCCCUCCCCCCACCCCCAUCUGCUGGCAGUGGUUGAGGCAGGUGGGCCAAGCACCCUCUUGGAGGAUACCACACUUCUUUCUUCCUUCCUCCCCUCCACAAGCAGCAGCCACUCUGAGAGGACUUCUGCACCCAUCAGGCUCCAAGCCUGGCCAGAGCCUCCCUCCAAUUUAGGUGCUCUCCGGCCCUGGGAAGCCUGGGGCCUCCUUCCUGCUGAGGGGCCUGACUCAAGGAGCUUUCCUGACUACUUUACAAAUGAAAGAAUGAGAGAGAAAAGAACAAGGUUAAAGUCUUAGAAGCUCUUCACCAAAAACCCUAAUAAGGAGAGAUACAGAAGUUUCCAGAUUAAAUAAUACUAAUUUACUUAGGGACUGGCUGGCUCCAGGAAGAGUCUGUGACCUCAGAUAAGUGAACACCCACCUGGGGGCAAUUUGUACCCAUUUUUUCUAACUUAGCAUCUUGGCAUGCUAAGGAUUAUUUCCUCCUGCAAGAGGACUGGGGAGUAAGGAAAUUCCAAGUGCAGAAAUGGAAUUGGUUGUAUAUAAAAUUCAUGAUUUCUGAACAAGCAGGAGGAUUGUGAUACCACAGCAUCGUACAGGGAUUUAAACCCAGGCUGGCCUGCCUAGGAGCCUGGGCUUUUGUUCUCAAACUGUCCCAUUACCCCAGCUUCUGCCCACUCGUCCAGAACAGCUUUCUCUUGGCCUGAAGGACACUGUUGCUUCCUUGUUACGUCACUGACUCAGUCACAAUUGGGCUGAGAGCAGAGCGUGGCCCGGCCCGCCAGGUCCCCAGGGCAGCCCCGGCUGGCCCGGCCUAGCCACAUACGCACCAUGAAGUACCCUCUGGUGCCACUGGUGAACGAGCUGACAUUUUCUUUCCUGGUGUUCUGGCUCUGUCUGCCCGUGGCCUUGCUGUUGUUCUUGCUGAUCAUCUGGCUACGCUUCUUACUCAACCAAGAUUCAGAGGAAAAUGACUCAGAUGUAUGCCUCGAUUGGGAGCCCUGGAGCAAAGACCCUGACGAGUUUUGCCAGGAGGAGAUGCUCCACAACCAAGAGGAGGAGAGGCCUUGCUGCUGAGCCUAUUCUGCCUGGUGAGGCCCCUCUGAGGGUUGGAGAGCUGGAACCAGAAGCCUCAGCGCUUCUGAAGCCUCAGCCAAAGCCUAGGGUGGCUGCCAUCCUAGAAGUCUGCUCCCUCCACUGUGCUGGAAAGCUUGAGAUCUCUGCCAUCAGAGAGCCUUCUGCCUUGUGUGGGAGACCUGGUUUUGCAGGUUCAGCGUUUCACUACUUCCCAGCCUGGUUUUCCUGGCAUCAGUGGAGCCGUGGCCAUGGCCGACGGCGAUGGGAGACUCUCCAGGGAGAGGAGAGGACUUGGGCGAAUGAGGUGCUCCCCUGUGAGCCCAGUUUGGCUCCUCCACUGAUGGACACACGAAUGCCUCCAGAGACCCAGCUCUUCUCUGUUACAGAUGACCUCCCCCGCCCCCUAGGGAGGAGCCAGAGCUCCUCUUAUACUGUGAAGACAGCAUAAGCGGGCCCCCAGGGAGAAGCUGGCCAGCUGAGCUCAGAGGUCUGCGAGGGGAGGGCUGGGCCGGAGGGCGUGGAUCUGUAUUAAAGAAACAAACAGGGUUCCUGUGCUCAGGAGACCCUGACAAACCUGCUGGGCCUGAUCAAGCCCACUCAUUUGACAAGCUGUGGGGCCGGGGGCAGCCCUGGCACCGGAGUAGUCCUGGCACCGUCUCGUGCCAUCCUGACCUUUGGCGAUCUGUUCCCAUCUGUCCAAAGGGCUGGCAGAUCCUGCUCUGAACUUCUGUUCUCUCAUUUCAGGCACAAAUUCACUCAUCUUUUUUUUUU